rnacentral:rRNA from 1 species
UGCGGCGUGCCUAACACAUGCAAGUCGAGCGAUGAAGUUCCUUCGGGAACGGAUUAGCGGCGGACGGGUGAGUAACACGUGGGCAACCUGCCUUAUAGAGGGGAAUAGCCUUCCGAAAGGAAGAUUAAUACCGCAUAAGAUUGUAGCUUCGCAUGAAGCAGCAAUUAAAGGAGCAAUCCGCUAUAAGAUGGGCCCGCGGCGCAUUAGCUAGUUGGUGAGGUAACGGCUCACCAAGGCGACGAUGCGUAGCCGACCUGAGAGGGUGAUCGGCCACAUUGGGACUGAGACACGGCCCACACUCCUACGGGAGGCAGCAGUGGGGAAUAUUGCACAAUGGGGGAAACCCUGAUGCACCAACGCCGCGUGAGUGAUGACGGCCUUCGGGUUGUAAAGCUCUGUCUUUGGGGACGAUAAUGACGGUACCCAAGGAGGAAGCCACGGCUAACUACGUGCCACCAGCCGCGGUAAUACGUAGGUGGCAAGCGUUGUCCGGAUUUACUGGGCGUAAAGGGAGCGUAGGCGGAUUUUUAAGUGGGAUGUGAAAUACCCGGGCUCAACCUGUGUGCUGCAUUCCAAACUGGAAAUCUAGAGUGCAGGAGGGGAAAGUGGAAUUCCUAGUGUAGCGGUGAAAUGCGUAGAGAUUAGGAAGAACACCAGUGGCGAAAGCGACUUUCUGGACUGUAACUGACGCUGAGGCUCGAAAGCGUGGGGAGCAAACAGGAUUAGAUACCCUGGUAGUUCACGCCGUAAACGAUGAAUACUAGGUGUAGGGGUUGUCAUGACCUCUGUGCCGCCGCUAACGCAUUAAGUAUUCCGCCUGGGGAGUACGGUCGCAAGAUUAAAACUCAAAGGAAUUGACGGGGGCCCGCACAAGUAGCGGAGCAUGUGGUUUAAUUCGAAGCAACGCGAAGAACCUUACCUAGACUUGACAUCUCCUGAAUUACCAUGUAAUGUGGGAAGUCCCUUCGGGGACAGGAAGACAGGUGGUGCAUGGUUGUCGUCAGCUCGUGUCGUGAGAUGUUGGGUUAAGUCCCGCAACGAGCGCAACCCUUAUUGUUAGUUGCUACCAUUUAGUUGAGCACUCUAGCGAGACUGCCCGGGUUAACCGGGAGGAAGGUGGGGAUGACGUCAAAUCAUCAUGCCCCUUAUGUCUAGGGCUACACACGUGCUACAAUGGCCGGUACAACGAGAUGCAAUACCGUGAGGUGGAGCAAAACUAUAAAACCGGUCUCAGUUCGGAUUGUAGGGUGAAACUCGCCUACAUGAAGCUGGAGUUACUAGUAAUCGCGAAUCAGAAUGUCGCGGUGAAUACGUUCCCGGGCCUUGUACACACCGCCCGUCACACCAUGAGAGUUGGCAAUACCCAAAGUUGGUGAUCUAACCCGUAAGGGAGGAAGCCACCUAAGGUAGGGUCAGCGAUUGGGGUGA